UAGGUGUCAUUAGCCAAGCACCAUUUUUAAUCAUUGGACUAAUAAUCGUCUCAACAAUACUAUUACUUAU
rnacentral:sRNA from 1 species